AGCUUUGCAUAGGGGCAGUAUCGUAGCCAAUGACGUUUAUCCGUGGUGCGAUUAUUGCUAAUUGAAAACUUUUUCCCCAUUUUUGUUUUCCUUUUAUAAAAAGACAGUAAAUGGAAGCCAAGUGUUUCUCCCCGAGGCCCCAGCUAAUUUUUGG
ensembl:snRNA U4 U4 spliceosomal RNA